UACGGGGGGAGCAAGCGUUGUUCGGAUUUACUGGGCGUAAAGGGCGCGUAGGCGGCCACCGCAAGUCGGUUGUGAAAUCUCUGGGCUUAACCCAGAACGGUCAACCGAUACUGCGGGGCUAGAGUGCAGAAGGGGCAACUGGAAUUCUCGGUGUAGCGGUGAAAUGCGUAGAUAUCGAGAGGAACACCUGCGGCGAAGGCGGGUUGCUGGGCUGACACUGACGCUGAAGCGCGAAAGCUAGGGGAGCGAACGGG
rnacentral:rRNA from 1 species